UACGUAGGAGACGAGCGUUGUCCGGAAUUACUGGGCGUAAAGCGCGUGUAGGCGGAUGAGCAAGUCUGCUGUGAAAGCUCCUGGCUUAACCGGGAGUGGUCGGUGGAAACUGCUCGUCUGGAGGACGGUAGAGGUAGGUAGAAUUCCCGGUGUAGUGGUGAAAUGCGUAGAGAUCGGGAGGAAUACCUGUGGCGAAGGCGGCCUACUGGGCCGGACCUGACGCUGAGACGCGAAGGCGUGGGGAGCGAACGGG
rnacentral:rRNA from 1 species